rnacentral:lncRNA from 1 species
UUGAGACCAGACAAACAAUCAACAGUAGCAGGGGUGGAACCCACACGUAUUUUGUAAUGAACACCGUAUGUUCUGGCCUGCAGGGAAGAGCAUGAGAUGGUCCAAAAGCAGCACAAGGAGAGACUGAAACAUGAAGAAAGACUGCAGGAGUUGAGAGAGGAGGAAGAAAGGAGGCAACAGGAGAGCAGACUGCUACAGCUGUUGGAAGAAACUAAAGGAACCUUUGAGGCCCAAAGGGUUUACCUGGAAGAACAACUAACACAGGAGAAACAGCUGCGCUAUGAAAUGCAGAAGGUGGCAGAGGCCCAGAUAAGUGGGCUGAAACAUGAAAUCAAAAAGCUCCAGAAGCAGCAAAGGCUUUCCAUGGAUGAUGCAUGCUCUGUGGGAAGUUACAAGUGGGAUGUCCAGAAACAUAGAAAUUCGUGGGAAAACAGCAAAAACGGUGACGUUGGAUCUGCUUGAACAGAUAAUGCAGGCUGCAAAUGCAAUUGUUAAUGGACAUAAUGCAGCCGAGGAAGGCUCUCUGAAUGCAGCUACCAAAGAACAGCUUUGGAACUACAGCCAGGAUUGCAAGACUGCAGAGAUUGAAGUAUUUGGUCACCAGAUAAGCAGAGAAGAUAUAGAAAAGAUUCCAGACCCCAGAAGAAAGGAACUGAAACCGAAGUUAUCUGGCACUAUCGGAAGAAAUAGAGGCCCGUCACAAAGCCCAGCUUGCAGUAGGAAAAGGGAUGUUACCAGACUCCGUCAUCUAUAUGUGAUACAAGUACUUGAAAUUUAA